AGAUGUUAGUCGCAACACCGUUCAACAAUAUCUGGGUUGAAAAAUAGAAUUUGACGACCAGACCGGUUUGAGUAAGCAGGGUGAUAGCCCAAAUUACGAAAACCGGCGGUCGCUGCGUAAGUGCUAAAGGCACGAAGCAGCUGGAUUUCA
rnacentral:sRNA from 1 species